rnacentral:tRNA from 1 species
GCCUCGAUAGCUCAGCCUGGUAGAGCGAACGCCUCGUAAGCGUUAGGCCGCGGGAUCGAAUCCCGUUCGAGGCUCUA